AAAACGCAUCAUCAGCAGCUCCACACUGUACAUAAUGUGACUUUCUAGCUAUUCAGGAAAAGAAAAAAAAUCAUAAUUAAAACCGUCAUUAUUAUAUAGCAUUAUGUAUGUUCGCACUUAAAAAAAAAUAUUGAAACUUUGCGAAAUCUAUAGGUGUAUAAUGAAAAAAGAAAUUUUUUUUCUAAAAACACUAACGAAUUUACUCAUCCGAAGUAUGAAAGUCUUUUGCGUUUUUAGAGAAUCGUGUCGAUUAUUAAAUUAUUUUGAAAUGUCGAAAACAUUAUGUUAUAACACAU